rnacentral:lncRNA from 1 species
UUUUAAACGAUAAGUUUUAAACCAAUCAAGUGCACAACCAUUGGUCCAAACUCAUAAGAGAUAAUAAUUUGAUUAUACAUCUCUAAAAUAAUAAGAUAUAAUUAUUUUGAAUUAUUAUCUCGUAAAAUUAAAUAAGAGAUAAUUAUCAUUGAUUAUUAUCUCUUAAAAUUAAAUAAGAGAUAAUUAUCAAAUAAGAUAUAGUUAUCAUCAAGAAGUUCAAACUUAUCAAAAUUCACCGCCCUCAACUAUAAAUAGGGGUGACCCUUCAAACGAAUAGACAUACAGAAGACAAGAUUUCUUCCUACAACAAGCAAGAGACAACUCUGUAGAUUAAGCAUUAAAGCCUUGAAGAACUUUCUCUUUAAAUCAUCUUUUUUUCACCAAUUGGCGAAAAAAUGGCGUGUGAUUCAGGAUAAGUUUCAAACCCUCGAGUCCAACGUUCUAGAAAGAGAAGAAUUAGAUGAUUAAUUUCUUAAUUUCUUUCUUAAAAAUUAUUCAAGAUUGUAAUAGAGUGCUCUUCAAAGCAAUAAAAUUUAAUUUGUUACUCCAAUUUUCUGUCUUAUUAUUUUGGACAAAACAUUUGCGUGUACAGAUGUAUAAGCUACCUUUUUGAAAAUACAUGUAUCCUUAAUAAUCCACCUCUUUUGUUUAACUUGUGUGAUAAGUAGAGAGAUUAAUUUGUGUGAGAAAUGCUUGUUAUUUAGUGAGAAGAUGGUACUAUAAUGGACUACUUAAAAUAUUAGUUAAAGUGUCUCAUCAAAAAAAUAAAUAUAAAAAAAUAUUAUUUAAAAUGUAUAAAAAAUAAACAAAAACUAAACAAAGUUCAUUCAUAUACAAGGAGGAACAAUUGAAAAUAAGUAUAUUUUUCUUUCUUGAAGCUUGUUACGCGGGUUGAUAUUGUUUGGUCGAGCCUGCAAGAUAGCAAUAGUGAAAAAGAUCAUUAGGAACUGUUUUGGAGAUGGCUCUCCAACAGUUAAGAUAGUAAUCGAAAAAAGUGAAAAAAGUGAGAGUAAGAGAAAGGUUCUUGGCUCUAGUUCUUAGAGAGAGAAAGCAAAAAAAUAGUGAAAAUGGCUUACCACGAGAGAGGGAGUUUGUCUCCUUUUAUAGCGUAGUGUGACAUAUAUGAGGACACGCCAAUUGCCGUGUUAGCGAAUAGGUGGUUGACCCAAUUAUACCACAAGGGUGUAGUUGGUAGCUAACUCAUUGCAUCAUCGGUAGUCGAGGUCCAGGAAUUGUGGGUGGCAGAGGAGGACUUGCCAUGCACGUUACCCUCUGCCCCUAAAGCUCUACUUGGGAAACUCUGCCAAGAUAAGCCCGAUGAUCGAUCUAUUGCAUUGAUCGAACAUGCUAUAUAGCAACAAUCUGAUAACAGCGCACGUUUGAGCUCAACUGGGAGUGCAAUCGGAUAUUUUAUUCUCUUGCAAUUGCCCCUCAGUUGUCCUUUCACUAUCCUUUUUAUGCCAUGUGUUUGCAUUUGGUUUGCUAUGGGGCUUGGUUAGGGCAUAUAAUUCAAAGUGGCACACCUACCCUUAGGUGCUUUUUAGGCAGGAAAUAAAGCAAUUAGAGUUUACCUAUAAAUAGAGAACUCAAACCAACCUACUAUUCACCUUGCAUCCUAAAUGUUCUAGAGAAAUAAAUUGAGGAGCGAAAGUUACAUAGGCAACCAGAAAUCACUAUCGUCGCCACAUGUAUUUUCCGCUCUCUCUGACAUGUUCUCAUCGCGAAGGCUCCCCUUUAACUUUCCCUCACCGAUCAUCUCUAAACAACCAUUGUAAGUCCCAUUUAUAAUUUUUCUCAAUGUUUUUCAAUUUAUUUAUGUUUGAAUCUUUUCGAAGUUAGUUGCGAUGUCUGUCUUUUGCUUAGGUCUGCAAUUUUUGUAGUUUGCUCGCUUUCGAAAUGCCUAAGUCGCGAAUUUAAGUUUGUCAUGGUCGCUCGUAUGGCAUUAACUUGCGGAUGUUUAGUUUCUCGGACACCAAGUGCUUUAGGUUGCCUUGCGAUCCAUUUCAUUGUGAAAUUGUUGUAUAUGACGUGGGUUGUGCCAUGAAUGCUCGUUAUUAAAGUGAAAAACUCGGGCGGUGCCCCCAUGCUUAGGUUUAGGGUUUGUCCACUAAGUAUGUGUGCUGACAGAACAUCGAGUCGCAUAAACAACUUAAAUGAGUUCCCUAAAACACACCGUAUCUCGGGUGAUGUAUAGCUAGGAUACAUAGGGUAGAGCUCGAAACUCGCAUGCAGUUCAUCUCGCUCUAGUACGUUAUUUGUCGUUGAUCCAAACUAGGCAAGGAUCUUAAACUGACAGGAUUUUGUUUAGUUUUAAACACAUGGAACUUAAUCAAGCUCAUCAGCUAAUGCAUGACGAUGUUUCCUUAGCAAGAUUUAGGAGAUAUCAUGAGAUUCUGAAUGAUGUCCUUAUAAAACAACCUUGUCCGCAUGGGGUAGUUGCUACCGUACAAGAUAACAAUGACUACAUCCUGGUCCGCACAUGGCUUAUUCAUCAAGUCGAACUUCGGUUUUUGGUCUGCCCAAUAUUAAAAGAGGUGAUGGCUCACUGUGGCCUUGCCUUCAUUCAAGUUUCCAUCAAUUUUGUCAAGACUAUUCUCGCUGUCGACACCUUGAUGUGAUGGGAGGGGCUGCAAUUUUUAGCCUCUGAUCUAUUGAAAGUGUAUACCAUAGUUCGGAUAAAAUGGGAGCCCUCUAGAACCUUUUUUAAUGGGAAUCACUAUAUGAGGCUUAGAAUUAGCUAAUAGCCUUGGAUAUUUUGUUUGUGUGUCUGGAAUUUUGGGAGUUCCGCCUAGUGAUGAUGGGUUGUAGUCCUUCCUAUGAACGAAUGGUAGUAUUGAUGAUGAUAAGGUCUUAUCUCGUCAUUGCUACGUGUACUUUGUUGUAUUCGUUAUGGCAUAUCUGAUCAUGGUUAUAGAUUGCAUUUCGUUUUGUUUACUUGCAAGUUUUCAAUAAAGCAUUCCAAGACAAGCUCGGAGCCUUGGCAGGCCGUAUUAGGAAUGUCCAACAAACAAUCGAGAAUCGCCGGCCCAAUGUUUGUGACUUGCUCUAGUAAACAGACAUUUAUUGCCAUAACCAUCCCCCAAGCUGACAACUUUGGGCAGUUACCUAACCCACCUUUGGAUAUCAGAGACUAGAAGACCUCACACAACGUGCUUAGUCUUCAAGUUUAGAUGACUAGACUAUCAACCGGAUAAACAUUAAUGCCAUGACUUCACAAGGAAGGUAGAGGAGCAAGAGGUAAGUACUAGUAGCUCCGAUUUGGUUUAGCUUUCUAGGAGUGAGCAACGAGCUACUCUUACUGAGGAAAAGGAAAAGGAAGAGAAGGAGAAAGACGAAGAGGAAGCUAUUUAGGGUGGUAACUUUGCCGCAACCAAUACAGUCCUUAUAUCGAGCUCGAACAACGGGGCUCGCGAGGUUGUCUUACUCCACCCGAUCCUAGAACCAGGAGCUAUAAGGGAAGAGGUUGAACACUCCUUAUAAGGAGAAGAAGAAGAAGAUGUGUCCAACUCAGCUUCAGUCAUGCCGCCAAAGUUGCUGAAGAUUGGUGGGAAGUCCUUUGGCGUUGCUCCAUAGAAGGGGCAGAUUUUCCACCCACCCCCAGGUUCAAAGCUCCAUUCCUAUUACCCGGAAGAACAAGAAGAAGGACAAAGUGAAGAGGCAUGAGGUAGGAGCCACCAGGAAAAGGCAUCGCGGGACCUGCAAAAGCUCUACUGGUGGCUCCCCCUCGACCUCAAUUUUUACCCAGACUUCUGGAAUCUCAAGCUAUUAGUUUGGGAGCUCGGCCAUCGCGUGACCUAUGACUACACUUUGUGUGACUUCGAGACUUGCCUUGCAGUGGCACAUGCUACAAUGUUGUUGUGCGAUGUUGUCGAGUUCCAAUAGGAGGAUGAGUUGAAGGAUUACAACAUGUCGAUCAUGGAGAACCUCCAAGUAAGUUCUUUACCUUGGUUCGGUUUAUCUUUCAUUGAGACUUAUAAGAUUUUUAGCCUUACUUCAGAGAUUGGUGGUAAACUAUCAGUGCAAGAAGUGCUUGGAUGACACGAAGAAGGCUAAAAAAAAGCCAACCAUCCUAAAGAGUGAUCUGAAGAAGAGAGAGGAGGAGCUUGCUGUUGCUACCAAUGAGAUGAAAAAGAAAUAUGAGGAGAUCCCUUGAAGAAUGUGUUUCUAUUCUGGUAUGCCUACUGAUCAUCUUCCCCUCUUUUGGGAAAUUGAAGGCUAAGAGCUUUACAGGUCUAGAGAAUUGGAAUCAAAAUUUAUAGCAAUUGCUUUUUUAAUUUUUUUAAACCUAUUAAUAUUUAUAUAGUCAGGAUGUAACACCCCACCCAAAAAUAAUCGUAACAAUCCAUACAAUAGGGCAUUAUCCACAUACUAUCCGUAUAAUCACUAUAAAUAUAAUAAAAUCACACAGCUAACGAGUGAUACAAAACAAAUCCUUCAUCCAAGUAUUGUUACAAACUUUACCCACAACUAACUAUAUAUGAACACUUGUAAAACAUAAACUCAAUAUAGGUCAGACCUAACUCACUAAAAGUACAAAUUUCAAUCUCUACAACUUAGCAGUGAACCCUUUCGCCAGCAUGCAAUUGAAAAGAAAUAUUGUAAAGGUGUGAGCUAACCACAUGCUCAGUGAAUGUACAACUCAUAUAUCACAUCAUAUCAAAUAAAUUUAUCCCCACAGUUCACAAUAUAUGCAUAACAAUAUAAAUCAACCACAAUUUCUAAGUAUGUUAUUCCACAAAGGCAAUAUAUCAUUCCAUAGGACAAUGUAAUGCAUCAGCACUAAGGAAUUAGUACACCCACCUUGGUGCCCGCCACUUUACCAAACACUAUUCUCUAGGGGUAACUGUAUUCUCUUUCGACUCCGCUUCGGAACCUAACAAUGCUAUCAUGAUAACAAAAUAAUUCAAAAUAAUAAAUCAUAUCCUAUAAAUUCAUAAUCCAAUCCGAUAGAUUCUCAUUAAAUGAUAUUAUUUACAACAUAUUAAAAAUUUAAUUCAAAAUAAUGAAUCAUAUCCUAUAAAUUCAUAAUCCAAUCCGAUAGAUUCUUAUUAAAUGAUAUUAUUUACAACAUAUUAAAAAUUCAUGGAGAUCGGACAAUUUUUCACCGUUGAUUAUCACCAAAUUGGUUCAUUAUAGCUAUCAAUCUCCAUCUUAUGUAACACGUCAUUCUAACAUUAAAUUUAACCCCCAAUAGUCCAAAAAUCAGAUUCACUCUCAAAAACUCAUUAAUUUAGGCUAAUUAACCUUAAUCUGUAAAAUAAGAACACAAGUUUUGCCACAUUUGAUAAUUUUCAAAAUCUCUCAUGUGAAUUUUUUCUCUCAAUUUUCUCAUCCCUCUCUCGGUUUUUCAUUGUUUUCUUUCUUCUUUCUUUUUCAUAAGCUAAUUAUGUAUAUAUAUAUAUAUAUAUAUACACACACACACAUGUAUAUAAUAAGUAACAGGAAAGGGUGAUGGGUGGCUGCCCAACUCAGCCGAAAAAUUAUCUAAAUUAUACUUUUUCCUCUGUAGUUUAAAUAAAUAACUCUAGGAUCCCUUGUACAUAUCAAAUUACAUUUUUGAACCCCCAAAUAAUAUCUUUAUUUUAUUUUUUUCAAUAAAAUAAAGCACGAGUAUCAAAAUUCCCUCCCCCUUAAAGAAUUUUGUUCCGAAAUUCACAUACCGUAAAAUAAGUGAGGGUUAUUUCGGCUUUCAUAAUCUCUUAUCCUUUCUCAAUCCCAAGUCGCCUCCUCGAUAGUAUGGCUUUUCCGUAAAACUUUCACUAGUUCAAUGGUCUUAUUACAAAGUAACUACGCUCGACAAUCUAAAAUCUGCACUGGCUCUUCAAUAUAAAAUAAAUCUUCCUUCAGUUCAAUUGGUUAAGAACUCAAAAUAUAUGACUGAUCAGAAAUAUACUUCUGUAACAUAGAAACAUGAAAUACAUCGUGUAACUGAGAUAACUUUGGUGGCAACAUCAAUCUAUAAGUCGUAGUCCCAAUCUGCUCAAUAAUCUCAUAAGGCCCAACAUAUCUCAGACUUAACUUGUAUUUUUUACCAAAUAGCAUUAUGCCUUUCCACAAAGACACAUGUAGAAAUAGUCGAUCACCCACUACAAACUCCAAAUCUUUUCUUCGAUUGUCUGCGUAACUUUUCUGGCGGCUAUGUGCAAUCUUCAUACGUUAUUUAACAAUUCUUACUUUAUUAGCAGUCUCUUCAACUAUUUCUAAACCCAAUAUCUUCUUUUCUACCACAUCACUCCAACACACAAGAGUCCUACAUCUCCGAUAAUAUAAAGCUUCAUAAGGAACCAUACCAAUACUAGAAUGAUAACUGUUAUUAUAAGCAAAUUCUAUCAAAGGUAAAAGUUCAUCCCAACUACUUUUGAAAUCUAACACACAAGAGCGCAACAUAUCCUCCAAAGUUUGAAUAGUUUGCUCAGACUACCCAUCUAUCUGUGGAUGAAAAGUUGUAUUUCAAAGUAAUACCCAUAGCUUGUUGUAAGCUUAGCCAAAAUCUAGAAGUAAAUCUAGAAUCUCUGUCAACAAUAAUAGACACUAGUGCACCAUGUAAUCGGAUAAUUUUGUCAACGUACAACUUAACAUACCUAUCACUCAAAUAAGUACUUUUAACAUGCCGAAAAUAUCUGACUUAGUCAAUCUUAUCCACAAUCACCCAAAUAGAAUCAAUUGCCUUUUUGUGAACGAGGAGGGCGAAAAAAAAUCCAUCGUGAUAUGGCUCCCACGUCCAUUCAUGAAUAGGAAGAGGUUAUAACAAACCUGUGGGUCACUGAUGUUCUGUUUUUAUCUGCUGACAAACUAAACAACGAGCAACGAACUCAGUUACCUCCCUCUUCAUUCUAAUCCACCAGUAAUGGUCCUUAAGAUCAUGAUACAUCUUAGUACUUUCGAGAUGCAUGACAUAAGGUAAAUUAUGUGCCCCUCUAAAGGCCUGAUCAUCUAGUACACAAAGUCGAGUACCAAAUAACAAUAACCCAUGAUCACUAACAAUAAAAUCUGUCCAGAUGGCAUCUCUGAUUUCUCUUCUAAUUUUCUCUGACUGUGGAUCUUGAGGUUGCAUUUCUCGUAUACGAUCAAUCAACAAUCAUCUCACUCUAAAUUGAGAUUUUAACGCAUUAGUGUCUGUCAUAAUCAUCUCCCCAGCUGUCAACCUCAAAUUAGUGAAAGCACUAACACGAUGACAUUGAAUACAUGUCAACAAACCUGAUGAUUUUCAACUUAAAGCAUCUGCUACAACAUUUGUUUGCCCUGGAUGAUAAUGUAUAGUGCAAUCAUAGUCUUUAAUCAACUCCAUUCAUUACCUUUAUCUCAAAUUCAAAUCUUUCUAUGAGAAUAAGUACUUCAAACUUUUAUGAUCCAUAAAAAUCUCACAAGUCUCUCCAUAAAAGUAAUGUCUCCAAAGUUUCAAAGCAAAAACAACUACAACUAACUCUAAAUCGUAAGUAAGUUAAUUCUGUUCAUGGUUCUUCAAUUGUCUCGAAGCAUAAGCAAUCACUUGCCCACGUU